GAUGAACGCUGGCGGCGUGCCUAAUACAUGCAAGUCGAGCGAACAGACGAGGAGCUUGCUCCUCUGACGUUAGCGGCGGACGGGUGAGUAACACGUGGAUAACCUACCUAUAAGACUGGGAUAACUUCGGGAAACCGGAGCUAAUACCGGAUAAUAUAUUGAACCGCAUGGUUCAAUAGUGAAAGACGGUUUUGCUGUCACUUAUAGAUGGAUCCGCGCCGCAUUAGCUAGUUGGUAAGGUAACGGCUUACCAAGGCGACGAUGCGUAGCCGACCUGAGAGGGUGAUCGGCCACACUGAAACUGAGACACGGUCCAGACUCCUACGGGAGGCAGCAGUAGGGAAUCUUCCGCAAUGGGCGAAAGCCUGACGGAGCAACGCCGCGUGAGUGAUGAAGGUCUUCGGAUCGUAAAACUCUGUUAUUAGGGAAGAACAAAUGUGUAAGUAACUAUGCACGUCUUGACGGUACCUAAUCAGAAAGCCACGGCUAACUACGUA
rnacentral:rRNA from 1 species